GGACGAACGCUGGCGGCGUGCUUAACACAUGCAAGUCGAACGGAAAGGCCCAGCUUGCUGGGUACUCGAGUGGCGAACGGGUGAGUAACACGUGGGUGAUCUGCCCUGGACUCUGGGAUAAGCCUGGGAAACUGGGUCUAAUACCGGAUAGGACCACUGAUUGCAUGGUUGGUGGUGGAAAGCUUUUGCGGUUCAGGAUGGGCCCGCGGCCUAUCAGCUUGUUGGUGGGGUAAUGGCCUACCAAGGCGACGACGGGUAGCCGACCUGAGAGGGUGAUCGGCCACACUGGGACUGAGACACGGCCCAGACUCCUACGGGAGGCAGCAGUGGGGAAUAUUGCACAAUGGGCGCAAGCCUGAUGCAGCGACGCCGCGUGAGGGAUGACGGCCUUCGGGUUGUAAACCUCUUUCGCUAGGGACGAAGCGUAAGUGACGGUACCUGGAGAAGAAGCAC
rnacentral:rRNA from 1 species